AUCAGAAGCUUAUUGAUCUCAUCGAGGUGCUAGCUUUCUUGCAGAGAUUGUAUCUUGACGGUUAAAAAUCUUCUUUUUUCUCAAGACACUCUUAGAGAAGAAAAAGAUAGGAGGAUAUUGAUCUCUACGCUAGUGAUCAUGAGAAGAACCCUUUCUUCUCUUUUUUUUCUAAAAUUCAUACACUAAAUCUCUACACUAGAGAUGUAGGAAUUUUGUCUAAUUUUUGGAUAAAGAGAGGAGGAAAAAUCCAUAUCCAAACAUGGACAAAAGAGAGAGAAUAAGACCUAACAACCAACCUUUGGUUGUUGGUAAGAAAGAAGGGAU
rnacentral:lncRNA from 1 species